rnacentral:rRNA from 1 species
UACGAAGGGGGCUAGCGUUGUUCGGAAUUACUGGGCGUAAAGCGCACGCAGGCGGCUCGAUAAAUUAGAAGUGAAAGCCCCGGGCUUAACCUGGGAAUUGCUUUUAAGACUGUCGAGCUAGAAUCCAGAAGAGGGUAGUGGAAUUCCGAGUGUAGAGGUGAAAUUCGUAGAUAUUCGGAAGAACACCAGUGGCGAAGGCGACUACCUGGUCUGGCAUUGACGCUCAUGUGCGAAAGCGUGGGGAGCAAACAGG